rnacentral:rRNA from 1 species
AACGAACGCUGGCGGUAUGCCUAACACAUGCAAGUCGAACGAGACCUUCGGGUCUAGUGGCGCACGGGUUCGAAACGCGUGGGAACCUGCCCUUAGGCUCGGAAUAACUCCCCGAAAGGGGUGCUAAUACCGGAUAAAGUCUUCGGACCAAAGAGUUAUCGUCUUUGGAUGGGCCCGCGUUGGAUUAGCUAGUUGUUAAGGUAAAAGCCUACCAAGGCGACGAUACAUAGCUGGUCUGAGAGGAUGAUCAGCCACACUGGGACUGAGACACGGCCCAGACUCCUACGGGAGGCAGCAGUAGGGAAUAUUGAACAACGGGCGAAAGCCUGAGCCAGCAAUGCCGCGUGAGUGAUGAAGGCCUUAGGGUUGUAAAGCUCUUUUACCCGGGAUGAUAAUGACAGUACCGGGAGAAUAAGCUCCGGCUAACUCCGUG